AUAGAACCCUAGGAUUCCCUAAAGGCACCAGAUCCUGCUGGAUUUUGGAGGCUAAGCAAGGCCAGCCAUGAUUAGUACUUGGGCAAGAGAUCACCAAGGAAAGCCAGGUAGGUUAUGUU
rnacentral:rRNA from 11 species